GUAUAAAUUUCAUAUAGCCACGACAUUCUAUUAACAUACAUUGGGGUAAAUGAAGAAGCAACAUAGACCAUGAAAAAAAUAUCCAGGGUCUACAAAAGGUGCACAGGUGGAGACAUAAAGAUGACAAGGUGUGCACAUGCUCCCUAGAGAACCAGCAACAACCCAUCAGGUUUAUUUCAAUAAUGAUCCUUCCGCAGGUUCACCUACGGAAA
rnacentral:misc_RNA from 1 species